GUGAGUAUUUAUAAAGUGUAUAUUAUAUUUACAGUGAAGUGAACAGUACAAACUUAAUUAAAAACAAUAUAUCCAACUACUUAUAUUUACCUAAGCAAUUUGUACGAUGGACGAUUAACAAUAAAAUAAUACAAUUUUUAUUUUUGAUGUAUAUAAAUAUUACUAACUAUACCAUAUAUUAUGGGUGGACGGACGAAACGCGGACACUUUUAUUGAUUUAAGUACAUAUGAUGUGACACACCAUGAACAUGUAUGCGUAUUAUCAUUAUAAAUACUAUACGUAUUUAAUAUUUAUAAUCAAUAAUAUUAUACAGAUUGUACCAGAGACAGAUGGUGCAUUCUACAAGAUUUUAUCAUCGUAAUAUAAUUUUUAUAAUUUUUUUUAAUGAUAAAACUGAGUUUAUCGGGUUUAUUAGUAAAAUGCCCAUAGCAAAUAAAAAUAAAC